UCCCCAUUUUUAUCAUACAGCAAAUUGUUAAAUGUUCCUGUAAGAAGCAGGGGAGAGAGGCUACCAGGAGGUGUAACUACAUUAAGCUGGUGGAACACAGGAGAUCUGAAAUAAGGGACUGAACCAAAACACAUUGAAAUCAAUGGGAGACUCCUGUUGAGUUGGAACAGGCUUCAGGCUCAGUAUAAAUGUACAGGAGGGGCACUGACUGCUGGUGCAACAUGUCAGUUCAUCAGCCUGUUGACUAAAAUACAGUAUGACUUCGCUAAUGACCGGGAUGCAUAUUGCAGAUUACCACAUUUUGCAAAUUAGUUAGUGAGAAUGGAAGUUACCCAACAGCCAGUGAGUCACUGCUAAUGGCUGAAUAUGCAACAAAAAGGGAACCCUCAUCAUGUGCUAAGUCCUACCAACUGUCUGUCAGUGGAGAUGGAGACAAAUUGGCUUAGCUUAAACCAGACUUAAAGCUUUGGCAUCCAAGUACUUGUGUCAUUUCAAGAUUCAGUAAAGAUGAAUCAUUUUGGAGGUUUAAGUGGGGACUGAAUAGAUGCCACAUCAUCUCACGACUGCUGCAAACAUACUGACUUUCAGCCACUCAAACCUAGCUACUGGUUGUGCUCUUCUUGGCCACUGAGUACAUGUAAAAUACGACUAUUUCUAAAUAAGAAAACCUCAGACAUUUACAUGGGAGUAUCCCUCAAGGUCAUAAAGCAUGUGUGCUGAAUACAAAAGGACAUUAAUUUUACCAUAAUUUGUGUGAGGGUUUUCAACAAGGCAGUGGAAUUGCAUAUUUUUUUGAUUUUUUUUUUCCUA
rnacentral:lncRNA from 1 species